rnacentral:lncRNA from 1 species
UUUAGGCCAAGCUCAUGCUUCACAAGGGCCUUUCCAGGCCCAACUUUUGUCUCAUGGCAACCUUCCCUGGCCAGAUUCCUGCCUGUCUCCCAGCAGCCUAGACAGGCCCAGGUCUUGCCUCACACUGGCCUCUCUACAUCCAGCUUAUGCCUCACGGUGGCCUCUCCACGGCCAACUCCUGUCCCAGGACAUCAUCUCCGGGCCCAAAACUUACUCAAGUCAGACUCUCUAGUCCCAACUGCUGCCUCCUGGUGGCCUAUGAAGGCCCAAAAUCUCCUCAAGUUGACCUGUCCAGGCCCAGCUCCUGCCUCCUGUCAGCGUCUACAGGCCCAACCUCUGCCUCAUGGGGGCUUCUCCAGGCCCACCUCUUCCUCUUGGCUGGGUCUACAGGCACAACUGCUGCCUCACAACAGCCUUUUUUGGCCCAGUUCCUGUCCAGCUAAUGGCGGCCAAUGUAGGCCCAAAACUUCCUCAAGUCAAACUCUCCAGGCCCACCUUCUGCUUCCCGGUGGCAUCAACAGGCCCAGCUUUGACUUGAGAACAGCCUCUGCAGGCCCUGCUCUUGCCUCCCAGGGGCUUUUUCCAGGCCCAGCUCUUGCCUCAUGGCAGCUGCCCCAGGCCAAAUUUCUGCCUGCCUGCCAGCAGCCUCAACAGGCACAGCUCCUCCCUCACAGUGGCCCAUUUAGGCCCAACUUAUGACUGUGAGGCCAUUUCCAGGCCUAGUGCCUGCCUCGUGGCUGACUCUUGAAGCCCAAAACUUCCUCAAAUCAGGCUUUUGCCCAACUUCUGUCUACUGUCGGACUCUACAGGUCAGCCUCUGCCUCACAGUGGACCCUCCAGACCCAGAUGGUGUCUCACUGUGGCAUCCUCAGGUGAAGCUCCUGCCUUUCGGCAGCCUCUCCAGGCCCAGCUCCUCCUGCCUCCCAGUGGCCUCUUUCGGCCCAGCCCAGCUCAUGCCUCCCGGCGGCCUUCCCAAGCCCCGCUUUUGACUUUCGGUGGCCUCUGCAGGCCUCGACAAGGCCCAGCCUCCUGCCUCCCGAAGGCCUGCACAGGCCCAGCCUCUGCCUCACAGCGGACUCUCCACGCCCAGCUAGCUGUUGCUUCACUGCGGCCUCCCGAGUCCAAAGCUCCUGCCUCUCGGCCGCUUCGGCAGGCCCAGCUCCCGCCUGCCAGUGGCCUCUUCAGGCCCAUGGGGCUCAUUCCUGACAACGGCCUUUCCAGGCCCAGUUUUUCCCUUCCAGCGGCCUCUCCGGGCCCAGAACCUCCUCAAGUCGGCCUCUCCAGACCCACUUGCACCCUCCGGGCGUUCUCUCCGGGCCCAGCUCUUCUUCCUGGUUGGGUCUCCAGGCCCGAUUCCUGCCUCUCAACAACCUCUUUGGACUCAGUGCCU